UUCCCACACUUCCCCUCUCCCUCAGUCUGGAUUUUCUCAUGCCCUCUCUUUUUCAAAGUAUCCCUAGUAUGAGAAAAUCCAGACUGAGGGAGGGGAAAAUGUGGGAA